CGUCAAAUCAGCACGGCCCUUACGUCCGGGGCGACACACGUGUUACAAUGGGGGGUACAGAGGGUAGCUACCACGCGAGUGGAUGCCAAUCCCGAAAUCCUCUCUCAGUUCGGAUCGAAGUCUGCAACUCGACUUCGUGAAGCUGGAUUCGCUAGUAAUCGCGCAUCAGCCAUGGCGCGGUGAAUACGUUCCCGGGCCUU
rnacentral:rRNA from 1 species